AAUUUAUUUUACCCUAAACUUCCCUUUCCCCCUUACCUCCGCCUCCUUUAAUUUCCUUCCCUCUUCGCAGCUCUUCCCUCUCCGCAGCAAGCAAGGAGGAGCUCAGCAAGAUCUUCUUCCCUCUCUGUAACAAGCAAGGAGGAGCCCAGCAAGGGAUGAUUGCUUGUCGGAAGCCUGGCGAGGCAGAGGCCCCAUCGCCUGCUACAGCACGUGAAGCGGCUAGGGCGCUUUGGACCAACUGCUCCAGCACCUGUGCCACCAACGUUGUGUACUUCUCAAGCAUCUCCGCUACAACCGCUACCAGUAUCAUGAUCCCUUUUCUUCUUCUUGUUCUUCACCUUGGAAGGAGUCGAUCUUCCAAACAGGUCCCUAAUCCUUUUCUAAACUAGGAAGUUUUGAUGCGGAUAUCUACAAGACCGCCAUGAUUUUGAUUAUUCACUCACAGGUCCGGCUAAGGUAUAGGCCAUUAAGAUCUAUGCCUAGGGCCCCAAUUUUAUUGGGGUCCAUUAAUUAAUUAAUUAAAGAUAUUAAAAAAAAUUAAAUUAGCAUCAUUAAUAUUAAUUAAUUAUAAAUGUCUUACUAAUUUAUUAAUGGCACCUUAUCAAUUAAUUCAUUAUCUAUUCCACUUCCUAUUUAUACCUUGUACUUAUCUUUAUUUCCUUAAUAAUUACUUAUCAUAAUUUUAUAUGAAAUUUUAUUCUGCCUUAAAUAUAAUUCAUUUUUAAAUUGACAUAUGUCUUUAUUUUUUUAUUAUUACUCCAAUUCCUAUUUUAUUUUACAAUUAGUAAUACUAUUCUUAUAAGACCUAAUGAAUUCUUUUCUCCUCAAUAUUUCUUAAAAAUCCUAAUAGUUCACUCAUCAAUGCAUUGUGCCCUUUUCUUUUUUCAUUAGCGAUUUUGCAUAUUUCUCCUUCCUCACCGAUGAUACUCGCAGAGAACGUCCUUCUCUUCCUUUGUUGAUAAUUUUUCUUCCUCGUUCUUUCUUUUUAUUUCUCGAUAAUAAUAUGAAUUAGAGAUUUUUUUAUCAUAAAAUACAAAGUAAAAUGCAUUUGCAAAUUUUUUUUUUUUUAAAUUAAAAUUAAUAAAGUCUAUUUGACAUUUUUAUAAAAAGAUUAAAUAAUUUAAUAAUUUUAUUAAUAAAAAAUAAAAUUAUUAUCAAAAUACCCAUCAGAAAACUAAAUUUUAUAUCAAAAAUUAUUUUUUUAAAAAAUAAUAUUUAAUUCUUUUUAAUAACUAAUUUUAAAAAUAUUUUUUUAAAAUUAUUAUUUUUGGUCCCAAAUCUAAAUGAAAAAUGUUAAAGAAAAUUAAAAAUAUAUUAAAAAAAUUUGUUUUUUAAACUUUUUUGCUUAGAGCCUCAAGGAAUCUUGAGACGACCCUGUUCAUUCACAAUCCCUAAUCAAGCAUUCUUUCCACACAAUCAUUGAGUUAGAAUUUGUAUAAACAUUAAGUUUUGUUUUUCAUGGACAGAGGCAGGAUGACUUUUUCUUGAGUGGAAGUUCAACUGAUGAGGCAGAGGCAGAUGAUGAAUGGAUAGAUAGAAGUACUAGGAGAGGAAGCGUUGAAGUCCUUGAAGGUCCAAAUGUUGAAAAGGCAGCGGGCGUUCUCCGAGGAGCUCCGUCAAGUGAAAUCAUCUCAGCCGUCCCAUUUAUCUCCUUCAGUCUCUCAAGCUGCCGCCUCCCUUGGAGGGGCUGACACUGGGCUAGUUCAAAGGAGCCAGUCGCUCUCCAAGGACUCAGAGGCCCUAGAGGGUGCUCCAGUAAAACCUCCAAGAAACUGGGAGCAGAGUCCCCAGCCCCCAACCUCCCCUAGAUGGUCUAGUUGGCCAGAUUCGAGCUUGGGUGAGCAGCCAUCAGCCUGGAGCGCGAAGAGUCCCCAGCCCUCAGAUUCGAGCUGGGGUGAGCAGCCCUCAGAUUCGAGCUGGGGUGGGCAGCCAUCAGCCUGGAGCGCGAAAGUCCCCAGCCCUCAACCUCCCCUAGAUCGUCUUCUUGGACAGAUUGGGGCUCGGAUUUUGUCCCAUUUCAGCCAUCAUCCUGGAGCGCGAAGAUCCCCCAGUCUUCGCUUAUGCUACCACCUGCAGCUCGGCCAAGUUUGCCUACGCCUGAGGAGCGGCAAGCUCUGCGAAGUUUGUCAAUAACGGACUUGUUGGAGAAGAACUUGGUGUUCCAGACGGAGUUGAAGGAGCGGAUUUCGCGUCUCAGUGCAGAUUACGCCGCGUCCCAAGCUCAAGAGACUAAGCUACGGUCCUUGGCUGAGUACUGGGAGAAGAAGGCUAAGGCAAUCGAAGCUGAAAAAGCUCAAGAGACUAAGCUACGGUCCUUGGCUGAGUACUGGGAGAAGAAGGCUAAGGCAAUCGAAGCUGAAAAAUUGCACCUCUCAGAACGGAUGGCUAAGGUCCUGGUUGAGCUCGACGAGAGCAAGGCUGAAUUGGAGGCGGCCAGAUCCAAGAUGGAAGGGAUGAGCUCUAUGCUAAAUGGAGCCAGUUCUAUGCUAAAUGGAGUCAAGGUCAAGCUGGAGGGGGCGAGAACUGAGCUGCAAUCGGCUGCGAAGGAUAAGGCGUCCCUUUGCGUCAAGUUUAACUGUUAAGAGGGUAGAGUUGGCCGAAGAAAACUAACCGAAGCAGGUGACCAUUUCGUGUCUCUCGAUAGCCAUCCAAGCCAUUGUGUUUUUUUUUUUUCUCUUUUUUUUUAAAAAAAAUCUAUUUUGAAAAAUGUGUAGAGUUAAUCAGAAUCAUCUUUGGCAAUGAACCAUCAUCCGUGCAA